AGGGCACCACCAGGAGUGGAGCCUGCGGCUUAAUUUGACUCAACACGGGGAAACUCACCCGGCCCGGACACCGUGAGGAUUGACAGAUUGAUAGCUUUUUCAUGAUUCGGUGGAUGGUGGUGCAUGGCCGUUCUUAGUUCGUGGAGCGAUUUGUCUGGUUUAUUCCGAUAACGAGCGAGACUCUGGCCUACUAAAUAGUUGGCGCAUCGCCUCUGUGCGCACAACUUCUUAGAGGGAUUCGCGGUGUUCAGCCGCACGAAAUUGAGCAAUAACAGGUCUGUGAUGCCCUUAGAUGUCCGGGGCUGCACGCGCGCUACACUGGCACACGCAGCGUGCUUGUCCCUGCCCGAGAGGGCCUGGGUAAACCCGUGAAACUUUGCCGUGAUUGGGAUCGGACAUUGCAAUUAUUGUCCGUGAACGAGGAAUUCCUUGUAGGGGCGUGUCAUCAACUCGCCCCGAAUACGUCCCUGCCCCUUGUACACACCGCCCGUCGCUGCCCGGGACUGGGCCACUUCGAGA
rnacentral:rRNA from 1 species